rnacentral:rRNA from 1 species
ACGAACGCUGGCGGCGUGCUUAACACAUGCCAGUCGAACGGAAAGGCCCUGCUUUUGUGGGGUGCUCGAGUGGCGAACGGGUGAGUAACACGUGAGUAACCUGCCCUUGACUUUGGGAUAACUUCAGGAAACUGGGGCUAAUACCGGAUAGGAGCUCCUGCUGCAUGGUGGGGGUUGGAAAGUUUCGGCGGUUGGGGAUGGACUCGCGGCUUAUCAGCUUGUUGGUGGGGUAGUGGCUUACCAAGGCUUUGACGGGUAGCCGGCCUGAGAGGGUGACCGGCCACAUUGGGACUGAGAUACGGCCCAGACUCCUACGGGAGGCAGCAGUGGGGAAUAUUGCACAAUGGGCGGAAGCCUGAUGCAGCAACGCCGCGUGCGGGAUGACGGCCUUCGGGUUGUAAACCGCUUUCGCCUGUGACGAGGCGUGAGUGACGGUAAUGGGUAAAGAAGCACCGGCUAACUACGUG